CUUAACCCAAAGCAAGGCACUGAAAAUGCCUAGAUGAGUCUCCCAACUCCAUAAACA
rnacentral:tRNA from 1 species